UUCAGAGGAAGAUUCCGGGGAUGCUGUGGGGUUGGCGCCAACUCAGCUAACUGUUACUGCAAUGGACCGGCAUCUCUUCUAAGCAAUCCACCCAAUUUUGGCACGGUGCCAAGUGAGUGUUCUCCACCACCACCAACAACAACAACAACAACAGCAACACCACCAUGAUGGAGGAAUAUCUAUAUCCGUACUGCUCGACACUACAUCAUUUGAUGUGUCACUAAGAAAGUGAUUUUAAUUUCAAUAAUAACAAUUUUGUUGUAAAACAAAAAGAGAAAAUGAAUCCUUGUGAGAUAACUACAAAAAGAGGGAAUAAAAUAUGCCUUAAAGUUC